ACAGAGGGGGCAAGCGUUAUUCGGAAUUAUUGGGCGUAAAGGGCGCGUAGGCGGCUUUGCAAGUGACGGGUGAAAUCCCUCGGCUUAACCGAGGAACUGCCUGUCAAACUGCAUGGCUUGAGACCAGGAGAGGUGAGUGGAAUUCCCAGUGUAGCGGUGAAAUGCGUAGAUAUCGAGAGGAACACCUGCGGCGAAGGCGGGUUGCUGGGCUGACACUGACGCUGAGGCGCGAAAGCUAGGGGAGCGAACGGGA
rnacentral:rRNA from 1 species